CUCAAAAGAAUGGUUUCGCUCCCCAAUUUUCAGAUUCCCUCCUCAUCCAAUUUUCUUAUUCCCUCUUCAAUUUUCAGAUUCCCUUUUCACCCAUAUCGAACUCCCUCUUGGCUUGCUCAUUACAACAGAACAAAAAAAUAAAUUGAUUUCCUCUCCUUCAUCUCUCCUUGACCUAAUUUCGCUCAAUCAACCUAGAUUGAAGAUUGAGGACCAUUCUCGCCUCCGUUGAUUUAGGAACUGAACGAAAAAUUUGAACUGAUUCAAUUGGAGAGCUGAUCUCUGGGCACCUCCUAGCCAGAAGCCAACAUCAGUUUCUACCUCCGUAUCAUGCACCACCGGUUGAUUUGCUUAAGUCAUGAGCCCGAGCUUGUAUUAAAAAGCUUUACAACAUGCGUUGGUCAUCAUAUUGGAAGGUUACAAUCCUUAUCUCGUUUGAAGGUUCUAUGGCAACAAAAGAAGUUGUUCAUUGAGGGUGACAUUUAUGCAUAUAUGAAGAUUCAAGUUUUGGGUUCAGAUGUUGUAUUCGAUUAGCCAUUCACCACUUAUCUCUGUCACUAUUCGGAUCAAACUUCUGCUUGUCAAGACAUACUUGUUGUAGAUCAGAAACUCCAGUUUGUGAUCCAGAGAAUUUGAGGGAUGCAAAUGUACCACUUGUUUCUCUUUCCUUGUCAGCUACGAAGCUAAACAACAUGAUUAUUAGAACGCAAUCCGAACCAAGAUGAUGAAAUUGAAGGUGCGAAACAGUGGAUCGAACAGCUAAUAUGAAGAAAGAAAGAAAGAAAGAAGUACCUUCGUAGCCGUAAAGCCGGAAAUCUGAUCGUCGAAAUGCGUUGGAGAUUGACAGCCGAGGUCGGCAGAGAAAGUGGAUUCGGUGGCGCGGUCGGAGGAGCCGAGGCAGAUGAUGAGCUGGUAAGGACGUAG